GUCCACGCUGUAAACGAUGUCUACUAGCCGUCGGGGUCCUUAGUGACUUUGGUGGCGCAGCUAACGCGAUAAGUAGACCGCCUGGGGAGUACGGCCGCAAGGUUAAAACUCAAAUGAAUUGACGGGGGCCCGCACAAGCGGUGGAGCAUGUGGUUUAAUUCGAUGCAACGCGAAGAACCUUACCAGGUCUUGACAUCCUCGGAAUUUGGCAGAGAUGCCUUAGUGCCUUCGGGAGCCGAGUGA
rnacentral:rRNA from 1 species